UACGUAGGUGGCAAGCGUUGUCCGGCAUUAUUGGGCGUAAAGCGCGCGCAGGCGGUCCUUUAAGUCUGAUGUGAAAGCCCACGGCUCAACCGUGGAGGGUCAUUGGAAACUGGGGGACUUGAGUGCAGAAGAGGAAAGCGGAAUUCCACGUGUAGCGGUGAAAUGCGUAGAGAUGUGGAGGAACACCAGUGGCGAAGGCGGCUUUCUGGUCUGUAACUGACGCUGAGGCGCGAAAGCGUGGGGAGCAAACAGG
rnacentral:rRNA from 1 species